rnacentral:lncRNA from 1 species
AGAGCGCGUUGGGCUCUGGAAAGUCUCCAUAAUAAAAUCCAAAGCUUAGAAAAACGCAAGAAACAGAUCAAUUAUUAUUAUUUUAAUUUCAAAGUUGGACAAAGGAUACAUUGAAUAGGGGGGUUACCUCACAAACCUGUAUUUCCCCGCCUCUGGUUUCUUAGCAGGAUGGGAGAGUUGAGAGGACCUGCAGGGACUUCUUGAGCCCUGCCUAGGAUGCGGGCCUGAUUCCAGCCCUCGGGCUCCAGCUUCCUGUCUCACAGUGGAAUCUCCUGUUCCUGCACACUAUUGCUAUUGUGAUGCCAUCCAUCCUGUGGGCCUUGCCAGGGCAAGCUGAAGACAGUGCCAUGACCUUGAAACUCCAGAUUGAAAAAAGAUGAUUCUCUAUAAUGCUUACACCAGGAGGAUAUUAUUCUACAAAUAAGGGCCCAGCAUGACAUUUAUGAGAAAGCCAGGGUCCUCCCCCACAAAGCUGAUUGGUGCUCUACCAAUAGACUCA